rnacentral:rRNA from 1 species
GCACAAUGGGCGCAAGCCUGAUGCAGCCAUGCCGCGUGUAUGAAGAAGGCCUUCGGGUUGUAAAGUACUUUCAGCAGUGAGGAAGGUGGGUAUGUUAAUAGCAUAUUCAUUUGACGUUAGCUGCAGAAGAAGCACCGGCUAACUCCGUGCCAGCAGCCGCGGUAAUACGGAGGGUGCGAGCGUUAAUCGGAAUUACUGGGCGUAAAGCGCAUGCAGGUGGUUUGUUAAGUCAGAUGUGAAAGCCCGGGGCUCAACCUCGGAAUUGCAUUUGAAACUGGCAAACUAGAGUACUGUAGAGGGGGUAGAAUUUCAGGUGUAGCGGUGAAAUGCGUAGAGAUCUGAAGGAAUACCGGUGGCGAAGGCGGCCCCCUGGACAGAUACUGACACUCAGAUGCGAAAGCGUGGGGAGCAAACAGGAUUAGAUACCCUGGUAG